rnacentral:rRNA from 1 species
UAAAAAAUAAUAGAUUUAAAAAUUAAUUUAAUUAAAAUAAUAAAUUUUUAAUAAAAAAUUUUAGUAAUUUUUAAAGAAUAAAUAAAAAUUUUUAUAGAAAAUUAGUAUAGAAAUAGAAUUUUUAAAAAAUCAUGAAAUAUAAAUUAUUAAAAAGUAAAUUUAAUUUAUUGUACCUUGUGUAUCAGUGAAUAUUUAAAUAAAAUUAUUUAUAUUAAAUUUUUCGAAAAAAAAAGAGUUAAUUAAAUUAAUUAUUUUAGUUAUUGUAUUAAAAAUAUUAAAAAUAAUUUAUUUGAAAUGAAAUGUUAAACGAUUUUUUUUAUAUCUAAUUUUGAAAGAAAUAAAUUUAAUUUAGUUAUUUUAAAAUAAUUUUUUAUUUAAUUUAUAAAAUUUAUUAAAAAUAAUUAUAUUUAUUGGGAUAAGCUAAUAAAUUUAUAAUUAAAUAUUAAAAUAAUAUUAAAAAUAAAUUUAUAAAAAUUAAAUUAUUUAAUAAUUAUAUUUUUUUAUAAAAAAUUUAUUAAUUUAUAAAUAUUUUAAUUUAUGUAAAUAUUAAUUUAGAAAUUUAUUUAAAUAUUAUUUUUAAUUAUUAAAAAUAAUAAAUAAUGAUAUUAUUAGUAUAUAAAUAAUUUAUAAAUUAAUUUUUGUGUAAAAUUGAUUUUAAGAAUUCGGCAAAUUUAUAUUCGCUUGUUUAACAAAAACAUGUCUUUUUGAUUAAUAAUUAAAAGUCUAAUCUGCCCCCUGAAUAUUUAAAUUUAAAGGGCUGCAGUAUAUUAACUGUACAAAGGUAGCAUAAUAAUUAGGUUUUUAAUUGAAAUCUUGUAUGAAUGAUUGGACGAAAUAUAAACUUUUUUAAAUUAAUUAAAUAAAAUUUAAUUUUUUAGUCAAAAAGCUAAAAUUUUUUUAAAAGACGAGAAGACCCUAUAAAUUUUUAUAAUAAAAUUAUUUAUAAAGUUUUUUAAAUAUAUAAUUAAAUCAAUUUAAUUAUUUUGUUGGGGUGAUAGAAAAAUUUAUAAAACUUUUUUUGAAAAUUUUAAUUUAAAUUAAAAUUUUAUUUUAUAAAAAAUUAUUAUUAAUAGUUAAAAGAUUAAAAUACUUUAGGGAUAACAGCGUAAUGUUAAUUUUAAGUUCAUAUUAAAAUUAAAGUUUGCGACCUCGAUGUUGGAUUAAAAUUAAGUUUAAAUGCAAAAAUUUAAAUUUUGAGUCUGUUCGACUUUUAAAAUUUUACAUGAUCUGAGUUCAAACCGGUGUGAGCCAGGUUGGUUUCUAUCUUUAAAUAAAAUUUAAUAUUUUAGUACGAAAGGAAUAAAUAUUAGAAAUAAUUUUUUAAUAAUUGAUUAAAUGUAAUGAAAUUAAA